rnacentral:rRNA from 1 species
GGCGGUUCGCCGCCCGUGACGUCGCGAGAAGUCCACUGAACCUUAUCAUUUAGAGGAAGGAGAAGUCGUAACAAGGUUUCCGUAGGUGAACCUGCGGAAGGAUCAUUGUCGUAUGCUUCCGAAAACACGACCGUUGCGCACGUGAUCGAACGCUGCCGGGGUGGCGCUGCCGCCUCGGCCCACCGGCCCGGCCCUCGCGCCCUCGGGCCGCGUUGGCCGUGUGCCGAAUACGGCGCGGGUUGACGCCAAGGAACACGAGACGCUGAGGCGGCUGGCGGAGCGCUGAGGCGCACGGCCCGCUGCCGAUGCAAAGGAAAAACUUGAUGACUCUCGGCAACGGAUAUCUCGGCUCUCGCAUCGAUGAAGAACGUAGCGAAAUGCGAUACGUGGUGUGAAUUGCAGAAUCCCGCGAACCAUCGAGUCUUUGAACGCAAGUUGCGCCCGAGGGACCCGCCCGAGGGCACGCCUGCCUGGGCGUUAGAAGCCCAUCCACGCUCGUGCGCCCAGCCCCGUCCCCGGCGGCGGGCUCUGGCACGAUGCGGAUAUUGGCCCUCCGUGUCUAUAGGCGCGGUGGGCCCAAGUACGUGGCCGUCGGGUCGGGCUCAUCCGCGGGAGCGGCGAGUGGUGGGCAUUUCUGCGCGCGCCGCCCCGUGCCCCCCGCCGGCUGAUGCAGCGCAGCGCGCUGCCGACCCCCGAGCGAGGAGCCGACCGACGCAGCGUCACGCUGCGCGGCGCCUUCGGACCGAUACCCCAGGUCAGGCGGGGCUACCCGCCGAGUUUAAGCAUAUAAAUAAG